GGAUGUGAGGGCGAUCUGGCUGCAACAUCUGUACGCCACUGAUCACCAGGGUUGAUUUGGCUGAUCUGACUGGCUAGGCGGGUGUCCUCCUCCUCUGUCAACACCCCAUAGAUGUUCCUCCCAAAGUUGCCUGCUCAGUCAAAGAGGAUGACCACCUCCAAUAGAGGAGGACUUUUCCUCCAACAAGGGUAUAUGGGUAGCUGCGCUCCUCUAGUAGAACCUCCAGACAAGCUCUCAAGGUCCAGGGCUGAAUUUGUGCCUUUUUCCAAGAAACUUUGUAUCUU
rnacentral:snRNA from 1 species